rnacentral:rRNA from 1 species
ACGAACGCUGGCGGCAGGCUUAACACAUGCAAGUCGAACGGUUGUAGCAAUACAGCAGUGGCAGACGGGUGAGUAACACGUGGGAACCUUCCUAGGGGUACGGAACAACUCAGGGAAACUUGAGCUAAUACCGUAUACGUCCGUGAGGAGAAAGUUUUAACGCCCCUAGACGGGCCCGCGUAGGAUUAGGUAGUUGGUGAGGUAACGGCUCACCAAGCCUACGAUCCUUAGCUGAUCUGAGAGGANGAUCAGCCACACUGGGACUGAGACACGGCCCAGACUCCUACGGGAGGCAGCAGUGGGGAAGUCUUGGACGAAUGGGCGGCAAGCCUGAUCCAGCCAUGCCGCGUGAGUGAAGAAGGCCUUCGGUUGGUUAAGUACGUCUUUACCUAC